GAGGAUUUAGCUUAAUUAAAGUGGUUGAUUUGCGUUCAGUUGAUGUAAGACAUAGCCUUGCAAUCCUUA
rnacentral:tRNA from 1 species